rnacentral:rRNA from 1 species
CCUACGAGUGGCAGCAGUGGGGGAUAUUGGACAAUGGGGGAAACCCUGAUCCAGCGAUGCCGCGUGAGGGAAGAAGGUUUUCGGAUUGUAAACCUAUGUGGAGGGGGACGAUAAUGACGGUACCCCUUUAGGAAGCCACGGCUAACUACGUGCCAGCAGCCGCGGUAAUACGUAGGUGGUGAGCGUUGUCCGGAAUUACUGGGUGUAAAGGGAGUGUAGGCGGGCAAGCAAGUCAGAAGUGAAAACUAUGGGCUUAACCCAUAGCCUGCUUUUGAAACUGUUUUUCUUGCGUGAAGUAGAGGCAAGCGGAAUUCCUAGUGUAGCGGUGCAAUGCUUAGAUAUGACGAAGAACCCCGAUUGCGAAGGCAGCUUGCUGCAGCGGAACUGACGCUGAUGCUCGAAAGCGCGGGUAUCGAACAGGAUUAGAUACCCUGGUAGUC